GGUUAAAAAGCUCGUAGUUGGAUUUCUGUUGAGGACGGCCGGUCCGCACUAUGUGCGUGUAUCUGGUUCGGCCUUGGCAUCCUCUUGAGGAACGUAUCUACGCUUGAUUGCGUGGAGCGGUAUUCAAGACUUUUACUUUGAGGAAAUUAGAGUGUUCACGGCAGGCAAGCGCCCUGAAUAUAUUAGCAUGGAAUAAUAAUAUAGGAUCUUGGUUCUAUUUUGUUGGUUUCUAGAGCUAAGGUAAUGAUUAAUAGGGAUAAUUGGGGGCAUUCGUAUUAACGCGUCAGAGGUGGAAUUCUUGGAUUGCGUUACGACAAACUACUGCGAAAGCAUUUGCCAAGGAUGUUUUCAUUGAUCAAGAACGAAAGUAUGGGGAUCGAAGAUGAUUAGAUACCGUCGUAGUCUAUACCAUAAACUAUGCCGACUAGGGAU
rnacentral:rRNA from 1 species